rnacentral:rRNA from 1 species
GGUGUAGGCGGCCUUUCAAGUCGGAUGUUAAAUCUCCUGGCCUAACUAGGAGGGUGCAUCCGAUACUGUUGGGCUGGAGUGCAGUAGAGGAAAGCGGAGUUCCCGGUGUAGUGGUGAAAUGCGUAGAUAUCGGGAGGAACACCAGUGGCGAAGGCGGCUUUCUGGGCUGUUACUGACGCUGAGGCCCGAAGGCGUGGGGAGCAAACAGGAUUAGAUACCCUGGUAGUCCACGCAGUAAACGAUGGAUACUAGGUAUGGGGAGUAUCGACCCUCCCUGUGCCGAAGUUAACGCUUUAAGUAUCCCGCCUGGGGACUACGGUCGCAAGACUAAA